rnacentral:rRNA from 1 species
GAUGAACGCUGGCGGCGUGCCUAAUACAUGCAAGUCGAGCGAACGGACGAGAAGCUUGCUUCUCUGAUGUUAGCGGCGGACGGGUGAGUAACACGUGGAUAACCUACCUAUAAGACUGGGAUAACUUCGGGAAACCGGAGCUAAUACCGGAUAAUAUUUUGAACCGCAUGGUUCAAAAGUGAAAGACGGUCUUGCUGUCACUUAUAGAUGGAUCCGCGCUGCAUUAGCUAGUUGGUAAGGUAACGGCUUACCAAGGCAACGAUGCAUAGCCGACCUGAGAGGGUGAUCGGCCACCCGGGAACUGAGACACGGCCCGGACUCCUACGGGAGGCAGCAGUAGGGAAUCUUCCGCAAUGGGCGAAAGCCUGACGGAGCAACGCCGCGUGAGUGAUGAAGGUCUUCGGUUCGUAAAACUCUUUUUUUAGGGAAGAACAUAUGUGUAAGUAACUGUGCACACCUUGACGGUACCUAAUCAGAAAGCCACGGCUAACUACGUG